UGUUCCAUGAAUCAAGCUAUCAAAAGCCAACUGUUGACCUUGCGUGUUAUCCUUUAGAAAGAGCCAGAACAUAUGGUUGGUCCGGAAGCCCGGUAUCUAGGACACUGGAAAGGAGGGAUGGAUACACUCAUCACGGCUUGAAAGACAGACCUUGCAAGAUGUCUGCGAACUACCACCAUCACGUCUGGAAAAAAGCGACUUCACACUAAUACAGCAGAGGAAAACCAUAGGUUGGCCAAAAACGGAACAGAAUUUACAAGGGAAAACGAAGGUUCCUGGAGUGAUAUGGUGAGUAGUUUCUAACCCAGAAAAGUAAGACUUAAGCAUGGAUUUUAAAUGUUAAGCUCGAGUAGGUAGAUAACUAAAGUUAAUCUCUUUAAGCCUC
rnacentral:lncRNA from 1 species